GACGAACGCUGGCGGCGUGCUUAACACAUGCAAGUCGAACGGAAAGGCCCUGCUUUUGUGGGGUGCUCGAGUGGCGAACGGGUGAGUAACACGUGAGUAACCUGCCCUUGACUUUGGGAUAACUUCAGGAAACUGGGGCUAAUACCGGAUAGGAGCUCCUGCUGCAUGGUGGGGGUUGGAAAGUUUCGGCGGUUGGGGAUGGACUCGCGGCUUAUCAGCUUGUUGGUGGGGUAGUGGCUUACCAAGGCUUUGACGGGUAGCCGGCCUGAGAGGGUGACCGGCCACAUUGGGACUGAGAUACGGCCCAGACUCCUACGGGAGGCAGCAGUGGGGAAUAUUGCACAAUGGGCGGAAGCCUGAUGCAGCAACGCCGCGUGCGGGAUGACGGCCUUCGGGUUGUAAACCGCUUUAGCCUGUGACGAAGCGUGAGUGACGGUAAUGAGUAAAGAAGCACCGGCUAACUACGUG
rnacentral:rRNA from 1 species